rnacentral:ncRNA from 1 species
AUUAAAUUUUUUAUGGUUUAAAAAUUUAUUAUUAAUUUAUUUUACAUAUAAAUUUUAGUGUUAAAUUUAAUAUUAUUUUAAAAAUAAUUUAAAUAAAUUAGUAGUAGUGAUUAAUAUUAAAAAUUUAAGAAAUUAAGAUUUAGUAAUAUUAAAAUUAAUAACAAAUUUUGUGCCAGCAGUUGCGGUUAUACAAAAAUUAAAUUAAAUUUUAUUAGUAAUUAAUAAUUGUUGAUUAAAAAAUAUAAUAAAUAAAUAUUAAAUUAUUAAGUGAAAUUUUAUUUUAAUUUAAAUUAUUAUUAUAAAGAAUUAAUAAAAUUAGAUUAUAAACUAGGAUUAGAUACCCUAUUAUAUAAAAAAUUAAAUUAAAAAUACUAAAAUAAUAAAUAAUUAUUUAUUGAAACUUAAAUAAUUUGGCGGUAUAUUAGUUCAUUUAGAGGAAUCUGUUUAUUAAUUGAUAAUCCACGAAUAAAUUUACUUAAUUUUUAUUUUGUAUAUCGUUGUUAAAAAAAUAUUUUUAAAUAAUUAAUAAUAUUUAAAAAUUUAAAUUUAAAAUUAAAUCAGAUCAAGAUGCAGAGUAUAAUUAAGAAUAUAAUGGAUUACAAUAAAAUUAUUUAAGUGAAUAUUAAUUUGUAAUAAUUAAUUGAAAUUGGAUUUAAAUGUAAUUUUAUUUAAUUUAUUAAAAUGAUUAAAAAUUAAUAUAUGUACAUAUUGCCCGUCGCUUUCAUAAAUAAAUUGAAAUAAGUCGUAACAAAGUAGAGGUACUGGAAAGUGUUUCUAGAAAUAG